GGCUUGGGAGGGUCAUGUGCGCUCUGUGAUUUGUUGCUGCUUGUUCAGAGCUUGAAGACUCAUGGCAGAAAAAGUGAAUUAACUUUACAGAAAAGGACUCUAAUAUGAUAUGGAAAUUCUCUACAUUAUCUAAAUUUGAACCACAGCUGCAGGAUCUCAGGAGAUGGUAAUAUAUGUCCACAAAUCAGCAAAAAUAAGACAAAGAGGAUUUUCUCAAUAUAUUGUCAGGCAAACAGGAAUGGCACCAGAAUUCACACCACAUUGAGGACCUUGGCUGGAUUCCAAAAGCAGCAAACUAUAAAAAUAGAAUUUUACAUUUCCAUUUUCCAUAUCUCUGCAAAAUAUAUAAAAAUUCUGAAUUUGAUGCAAGUCUGCAUGCAUCUUCCAUCCUAACCAGAUGGGAAAAUAUCCAAAUAUGGUUGCUGGGCAGUGGGAUCACCACAAUUUAAACAAAUCUCUCUUAAUCCAGAUUAAAUACAUUUCAGGCUCUGUGUGCACAGAACUUCAAAAGAGAUUAUCCUACUUUAUCCUAUCCCAUGUUUUGUCAUCAGUAAGUUCUUGUUCUGUUUUUCUUUAGCAGUUCAUGGCCCUCAAACAAGAUGUGAUAUGUGAAUCAGCCAAUAAAUGAAGGGCCCACAAAAGAACAACUUGAGAAACUGCAGAUCACUUCUGGUGUGAGAGAAUUGGCCAUCUGAAAGGACGUUGCCUAUGGGACACCAGGAUUUUUGAGGUUUUACCAUCCUUGUGGGAGGCUUCUCUCAUACCUCCGCAUGGGAAGCUGGAACUGACAGAGGGAGCUUAUCCAUGUUCUGCCAAGGUUCAAACCAGCAACCUUCAGGUCAGCAACACAACCUUCAAGUCAACAGUCCUGCCGGUGACUUGUCAGCAAGUGAUGAUGCUGAGAAGCAGAAGCAACAUAUUAUUUUUGUGGGUAGAUUAUCUUUUGAAUUGGAGUAUUUUAAAAUUCAGUGAAUUCAUGAUUUACAAGACAUGUAAGUUUUAAAAAAUACUCUAAAUCAAGGCUGAGUUAGUCACAUUAAAAGUGACUUGAGUAAAGUAAUAUGCAAAAAGGAAAAAAGACAGAAAGAAUAAAUGUGUCUGAGUGUUUUUAAAAGAUUCAAUUUCUGUGCUUAAUGUACCCAAACCAAAAUCAGAAUAAACCCAUAAAGCCCAA